GGGGAAUAUUGCACAAUGGGCGCAAGCCUGAUGCAGCGACGCCGCGUGAGGGAAGACGGCCUUCGGGUUGUAAACCUCUUUCGCCAGGGACGAAGCGCAAGUGACGGUACCUGGAGAAGAAGCACCGGCCAACUACGUGCCAGCAGCCGCGGUAAUACGUAGGGUGCGAGCGUUGUCCGGAAUUACUGGGCGUAAAGAGCUCGUAGGCGGUUUGUCGCGUCGUCUGUGAAAUUCUGCAGCUUAACUGUAGGCGUGCAGGCGAUACGGGCAGACUUGAGUACUACAGGGGAGACUGGAAUUCCUGGUGUAGCGGUGAAAUGCGCAGAUAUCAGGAGGAACACCGGUGGCGAAGGCGGGUCUCUGGGUAGUUACUGACGCUGAGGAGCGAAAGCGUGGGGAGCA
rnacentral:rRNA from 1 species